rnacentral:rRNA from 1 species
GUGGGGAAUCUUCCGCAAUGGACGAAAGUCUGACGGAGCGACGCCGCGUGAGUGAAGAAGGCCUUCGGGUCGUAAAGCUCUGUCAUCAGGGACGAACGGCCGGUGGAGUGGAAAGCCACCGGAUUGACGGUACCUGAGAAGGAAGCCACGGCUAACUACGUGCCAGCAGCCGCGGUAAUACGUAGGUGGCAAGCGUUGUCCGGCAUUAUUGGGCGUAAAGCGCGCGCAGGUGGGAUCUUAAGUGCAUUUUUAAAGUUCGGAGCUCAACUCCGUGAUGGGAUGGAAACUGGGAUUCUUGAGUACCGGAGAGGAAAGCGGAAUUCCCCGUGUAGCGGUGAAAUGCGUAGAUAUGGGGAGGAACACCAGUGGCGAAGGCGGCUUUCUGGACGGUGUCUGACACUGAGGCGCGAAAGCCAGGGGAGCGAACGGGAUUAGAUACCCUAGUAGUCC